CGGAAAUGACACAGCAAAUACGAUGCAUGCGCAGAGGAAAACACCACUGACUUCAUUUUUUCUGUCACCUAAAAAGCGUCAAAGGGAGCUGAAAGCAUAACUCAGUUGACAGAGCUCUUGCCUAUCAUCUACAGAUCCUUGAGUUCCAAACCCAGAACUCCAUAAAUUGGAUGUGGUGUCCAAUGCCUGUAAUGCCAGCACUCUGGAAAUGGGCUACCACAAGAAAUUAAAUGCAAAGGCAAACGAAGGAAUUGAUCGCUCUUCCGUGAAGCCAGGCAUUAGGAUGUGUGCAAGGGUAUACGGCAAAGCUGUUCUUCUCAUCGAAGCUAUUGCUCUGAAGAAAUCGCUUUCAGUAAAAAGGUGAUUUCUGUUCGAGUGCAGUAAGUGAGAACUAAAGAGAUGGCUCAUCUGGAAGAGGGGACACUGCUCUCGCAGAGGACGGGAGUUCGGCUCCCAGCACCCACACGGGGUAGCCCACAGCUGCCUAUAACUCCAUCUCUAGAUUCUGCCUCCCGUCAGUCGUCUGUGGGCUCUACACUUAGAAACACACGCAUACAUUUGAGAGCACACACACACGGGCGCGCGCACACACACACACACACACACACUCAAAUAAGAAAGAAAGAAUAAAGUAAAUCUAAAAAGAAUGUGACAAGUAUAUUUUUAAUAUUUUAAGCUUUCUGUGUUAAUUUGAGAACAUUAACUGUGGGUGUAAGGCACAUAAACAAGCAUGUUUGCACAUCCUAACUAACCUGAAAUGACGGAGUCUUAAGGCCAACGGGGCUUGAGAUCUGCUGUUCUACAUCACAUACUCUGGGAACUCCAGGAAAGGAACAAGUCAGCCAACACCCCAUGCCUUUAACCCUGACCUGCCUUGCCUACUGUGGAGCCUACGUGUUAGCACUCUUAGACUGUUAGACAGUUCCUGUGCUAGACAGUGGUAUCCUCGUUAUUCAACAGCAUCGAUGAGGUAUCCCUGACCAAAAUCUUCAAGUUGUAUUCCUCCAUAUUUUGGUUUAUGUGUACAUUGUGAAAGGGUUGUAUCAAGCAAUUAAACACCUAUCAUCUCUAA